rnacentral:rRNA from 1 species
AGAGUUUGAUCCUGGCUCAGGACGAACGCUGGCGGCGUGCUUAACACAUGCAAGUCGUACGAGACGAUUGAAAGCUUGCUUUUGAAAGUCGAGUGGCAAACGGGUGAGUAACGCGUAGACGACCUGCCGUAAAGAUGGGGACAACAGUUCGAAAGGACUGCUAAUACCGAAUGUUGUAGAGUUUCCGCAUGGGGAUCCUACUAAAGAUGGCCUCUACUUGUAAGCUAUCGCUUUACGAUGGGUCUGCGUCUGAUUAGCUAGUUGGUGGGGUAACGGCCUACCAAGGCGACGAUCAGUAGCCGGUCUGAGAGGAUGAACGGCCACAUUGGAACUGAGACACGGUCCAGACUCCUACGGGAGGCAGCAGUGGGGAAUCUUCCGCAAUGGGCGCAAGCCUGACGGAGCAACGCCGCGUGAGUGAAGAAGGGUUUCGACUCGUAAAGCUCUGUUGUCGGGGACGAAUGUGGAGAUGGUGAAUAACCAUUUCCAAUGACGGUACCUGACGAGGAAGCCACGGCUAACUACGUGCCAGCAGCCGCGGU